AACGUAGGUCCCGAGCGUUAUCCGGAUUUACUGGGCGUAAAGCGUGUUCAGGCGGUCUAGCAAGUCGGGCAUGAAAUCUCUCGGCUCAACCGGGAGGGGUUGUCCGAUACUGCUGGGCUUGAGGGCAGCAGAGGGUGGUGGAAUUCCGGGUGUAGUGGUGAAAUGCGUAGAUAUCGAGAGGAACACCAGUGGCGAAGGCGAGUCCCUGGACACUUCCUGACACUGAGGCACGAAAGCUAGGGGAGCAAACAGG
rnacentral:rRNA from 1 species